GUUUAUCAAACACAUGUCUUUUAGAAUUAAAUUAAAAGUCAGGCCUGCCCACUGAAAUUUUAAAUGGCCGCAGUAUUUUAACUGUGCAAAGGUAGCAUAAUCAAUAGUCUUCUAAUUAGAGGCUGGAAUGAAUGGUUUAAUGAGAUAUUAACUGUUUCAUAAAAAUUUAUAAUAGAAUUUUAUUUUUUAGUGAAAAAGCUAAAAUAUAAUUAAAAGACGAGAAGACCCUAUAAAUCUUUAUAUUUUAUUGGGGUGAUAUUAAAAUUUAAUUAACUUUUAAUUUUUAAUUUACAUUAAUUAAUGAAUUAUUGAUCCAUAUAUUAUGAUUAAAAAUUCUAGUUACUUUAGGGAUAACAGCGUAAUUUUUUUUGAGAGUUCUUAUUGAUAAAAAAGGUUGCGACCUCGAUG
rnacentral:rRNA from 1 species